CGGAAGGGUGAGGAACGCGUGAGUAAUCUGCCCCUCAGUUGGGAAUAACAGUUGGAAACGACUGCUAAUACCGAAUGUGGCUUAGGUUCCGCAUGGGACUUUGGCUAAAGAUUUAUCGCUGAGGGAUGAGCUUGCGUCCCAUUAGGUAGUUGGUGAGGUAACGGCUCACCAAGCCGACGAUGGGUAGCUGGUCUGAGAGGAUGGUCAGCCACACUGGGACUGAGACACUGCCCAGACUCCUACGGGAGGCUGCAGUCGAGAAUCUUGGGCAAUGCGCGAAAGCGUGACCCAGCAAUGCCGCGUGUAUGAUGAAGGCCCUCGGGUCGUAAAAUACUGUCUCCCGUGACGAAAUUUGACGGUAGCGGGGAAGGAAGCCACGGCUAACUACGUGCCAGCAGCCGCGGUAAUACGUAGGUGGCGAGCGUUGUUCGGAUUUAUUGGGCGUAGAGGGUCUGUAGGAGGUUUGUUAAAUACGGGGUGAAAUCCGGAAGCUCAACUUCCGAAUUGCCUUGUAGACUGACGGACUGGAGUACCGGAGAGGUAAGCGGAAUACCAGGUGUAGCGGUGGAAUGCGUAGAUAUCUGGUAGAACACCAAAAGCGAAGGCAGCUUACUGGACGGAAACUGACUCUGAAAGACGAAAGCAUGGGGAGCAAACAGGAUUAGAUACCCUGGUAGUCCAUGCCGUAAACGUUGUCAACUUGAUGUGGGGGGGAUUUAGUCCUCCCCGUAUCGAAGCUAACGCGAUAAGUUGACCGCCUGGGGACUACGGCCGCAAGGCUAAAACUCAAAGGAAUUGACGGGGGCCCGCACAAGCGGUGGAGCAUGUGGCUUAAUUCGAGGCAACGCGAAGAACCUUACCUGGUCUUGAAAUAUAUCGGAUCG
rnacentral:rRNA from 1 species